CUCUACCUACGGGACGCAGCAGUGGGGAAUAUUGGGCAAUGGGGGGAACCGUGACCCAGCGACGCCGCGUGAGGGAAGAAGGUUUUCGGAUUGUAAACCUUUGUCCUUGGUGACGAUAAUGACGGUAGCCAAGGAGGAAGCCACGGCUAACUACGUGCCAGCAGCCGCGGUAAUACGUAGGUGGCGAGCGUUGUCCGGAAUUACUGGGUGUAAAGGGAGCGUAGGCGGGAGAGCAAGUCGACUGUGAAAUCUAUGGGCUUAACCCAUAGCUGCGAUCGAAACUGUUCAUCUUGAGAGAAGUAGAG
rnacentral:rRNA from 1 species